GCAGCCGAGCUUUAUGCCCGGCCCACAGACUAAGCGUCGGUGGAUGCUAGUCCCCGGGGACCUGCAUUUCAGACAUAGUCGGUCCCCGAUUGAUAAUCCCGGGGAACCAGCGUUCCGUAGGUGAACCUGCGGAAGGAUCAUU
rnacentral:rRNA from 1 species